rnacentral:misc_RNA from 1 species
GAUGAAGAACGUAGUGAAAUGCGAUAAGUAAUGUGAAUUGCAGAAUUCAGUGAAUCAUCGAAUCUUUGAACGCACAUUGCGCCCACUAGUAUUCUGGUGGGCAUGCCUGUUCGAGCGUCAUUUCAACCCUCAAGCCUGGCUUGGUGUUGGGGCCCUGCGCCUGCAGGCCCUUAAAUCCAGUGGCGGACACGCUAGGUCUCCGAGCGCAGUAGUUUCUUCUCGCUUCGGGCGUCCGGCGUGGGCUUGCCUUGCACCAUUUUUCUAAGGUUGACCUCGGAUCAGGUAGGAAUACCCGCUGAACUUAAGCAUAUCAAUAAGCGGAGGA